UGUGGGAGCUGGCUUGCCUGCGAUAGCGGUGGGUCAGCUACACAUUUGGCAACUGGCAGACCGCUAUCGCAGGCAAGCCAGCUCCCACA
rnacentral:misc_RNA from 1 species